rnacentral:rRNA from 1 species
GAUCCUGGCUUAGGAUGAACGCUAGCUACAGGCUUAACACAUGCAAGUCGAGGGGAAACGAUAUUGAAAGCUUGCUUCUUAGGCGUCGACCGGCGAAUGGGUGAGUAACGCGUAUCCAACCUGCCCCUGAGUAAGGGAUAGCCCAUCGAAAGAUGGAUUAAUACCUUAUGGUUCCUUUGAAGGCAUCUGAUUAGGAAUAAAGAUUUAUCGCUGAGGGAGGGGGAUGCGUCUGAUUAGCUUGUGGCGGGGUAACGGCCCACCAAGGCAACGAUCAGUAGGGGUUCUGAGAGGAAGGUCCCCCACAUUGGUACUGAGACACGGACCAAACUCCUACGGGAGGCAGCAGUGAGGAAUAUUGGUCAAUGGGCGCAAGCCUGAACCAGCCAAGUAGCGUGCAGGGAACCGACUGCCCUAUGGGUUGUAAACUGCUUUUAUACGGGGAUAAAGUCAGAGUCGUGACUCUGUUUGCAGGCACCGUAUGAAUAAGGACCGGCUAAUUCCGUGCCAGCCGCUGC